GGCCAGGCAGAGGCACUCCUCACCUCCCAGACAUCGCGGCCAGGCAGAGGUGCUCCCCACUUCCCAGACGGGGCAGCUGGGCAGAGGCACUCCUCACCUCCCAGAUGGGGCAGCCUGGCAGAGGCGCUCCUCACCUCCCAGACGAUGGGCAGCUGGGCAAAGGCGCUCCUCACCUCCCAGACUGGGCGGCCAGGCAGAGGCGCUCCUCGCCUCCCAGAUGGGGUGGCCGGGCAGAGGCGCUCCUCACCUCCCAGAUGGGGAGACCAGGAAGAGGUGCUCCUCACUUCCCAGAUGGGGCGGCCAGGCAGAGGUGCUCCUCACUUCCCAGAUGGUGUGUCAUCCGUGAAGAGGCGCUUCUCACCUCCCAGAUGAUUGGCAGCCAGAGAAAGAGGCGCUCUUCACUUCCCAGAUGGCGCAGCCAGGCAGAGGCGCCCCUCAGUUCCCA
rnacentral:lncRNA from 1 species